rnacentral:rRNA from 1 species
UGAAAGUACAGGCCGGCCUUUCGCCGGCUGAGGGACGACGGGUCGCGUCCGCGCGGCCCCGCACUCCCGGGGCGUCUCGAUCUCAUUGCGAGAUGAGGCGCACCUACAGCGCACACGCUGGUACCCGAAAGAUGGUGAACUAUGCCUGGUCAGGACGAAGUCAGGGGAAACCCUGAUGGAGGUCCGUAGCGAUUCUGACGUGCAAAUCGAUCGUCGGAACUGGGUAUAGGGGCGAAAGACUAAUCGAACCAUCUAGUAGCUGGUUCCCUCCGAAGUUUCCCUCAGGAUAGCUGGCGCUCGCGCGAGCGAGUCUCAUCUGGUAAAGCGAAUGAUUAGAGGCAUUGGGGUCGAAACGGCCUCAACCUAUUCUCAAACUUUAAAUGGGUGAGAUCUCCGGCUUGCUUGAACAGUGAAGCCGCGAGAUUUCGGAUCAGAGUGCCAAGUGGGCCAAUUUUGGUAAGCAGAACUGGCGCUGUGGGAUGAACCAAACGCAGAGUUAAAGCGCCCAAAUCGACGCUAAUGAGAUACCAUGAAAGGCGUUGGUAACUUAAGACAGCAGGACGGUGGCCAUGGAAGUC